AUCUUAUUUUCGGAAACCUCCGACGGGUUGAUAUACUUUUUGUUUGAGUAGUGAGUACUCUUCGUCUUUACAAACCCUACAAAUUCUCUUUUGGAGUUCUGGCAACUUUCAGGUUCCUCCCAAUCGCUCCGAUGCCUUUGAUGUUCACAUCUUCCGGUAGUCCUGUCGCAGAUGACUUUCGCCCUUCUCAUUCAGCCCAUUUCUCUAAAUCUAAUUAAUUUGAAUUCAAUGUGGUAGGACGAGAGUCAUCUGUGACAGGAUAAUGGAAGAUCUAGUUAUCAAAGGCUUAUUGGGCGUUUUUUUUUCAUGUUGAGUUCGUAGCAUAAUCUCCAACUUUUGCAGAGUAUUGCAAAACCGAAGUAGCACAGACGAUAUUUCAAUUAAGGCUCUGCACAUUGCUCCUAUUGUCACGUUUUUCAUUUGCAGAAGUUUAUCAAUAUGUGUCCUCCAAAACUUGCAAGUAUCUCUUCUUAUUAUGAAAAUAUUUCCAAACAUGUGUCUAUUCCAGUACAUAAUUACUUAAUAGAACUCUUUAGUGGCUCUAUCUAAGAUAGAAUUAUGCGUUUAACUAUUCUGAACAAUACCAAUAAAUUCUAAAUAUCGAGUACACUACAUCUUAUCAAAUUUGAAGGGUUUGGGUGCCUUGUUCCCGUAAUCCUAAAACAGAGUAAUAAGCGAAGGUGAAUAGUCUGAAUGAGUGCAAGGGAGGUCUUUUUGGUCGAAAUGCUAGUUAUAUUAUAAACUAACAAGGAUUAGGCCUGCUACAUGCAGCUGAAGUGUUGGAAGUUUGGGCAAUAAAAAAAUUACAAAAAUCACCUCUCGGAUACAUCUCUAUCAGAUACAUUCCUAUCCCCUCUCGAAUACAUCCCUCCCAUUAGGUAUGUAUCAUUUGCAAUGUAUCGAACAACCAAGGAAUGUAUCCGAGAGCAAUGAAAAAUUCAAAAUAAAAUAAAAUGGGGAAACUUCCCGUAUAGAAUUAGGAUGUAAUUAGCCCCCUAAUAUAUGGAAUUUAUGUACUUUAUACUUUAAAUAAUUGUUACAAAAAUUUAAUUUCCUUGAAUACAGAGGUUCCCGAAAUGCCUGUCCAUACUGCGCUAUUUGCAAACAUUGGAGGAACUGUCAAAAAGGUUGGAUCUCUGAAAGAACUGCACUAGAGACCUUCCUUGCUAAGCUUGUCCGACACUUUAUUCUGCUCCCGAAAUAUGAGUGUGUUGGCAUCACUGCUCCCAGCUUCUCCAUUAAUAACCUGCAUUCAAAGAUUAAGUUGGUAAAGAGGUGAUUAUCGUGUUCAAACAUAUUGAUCAGUUCCAUGGAGUCUCUGUUGAUGUCUAUUGGGUUCAGCCUAUAUUCAAUGGCCAUAAGCACACCUUGUCUUAGCGCACGAACCUUGCCAAGAUUGGGUUGACAUGGGCUUCUUUGCUGAUAAAAGCCAAUGAUCCAGUCACCUCUAUGGUUUCUGAUAACACCUCCAAGACCUCCUCGUCCCGGGGCUUUCUUUCGCAGCCCCAUCAGUAUUCGGUUUAAACCUACCUGGCACACGAGGUUUCCACCUGACCUGGAUGACAUAUUACUGAUCAAGGAAGGUUAGUAAUAUACUAGAGUCAAAAUACAUGUCGAUCCAAAAGUCAUUAGCAAAACAUUUAUCUAACCUUUCAGGUAUUCAAGCAUUUAAGUAGGUCAUCAUUCACAUCAUAACAAUACCACCAGGUGUGAUAAGAGGAUCAAUCCAUAAUACAGGAUUGGGAAUUUUUGGAUUGAAAAUCAUUUUUUGGUGAGAAGCUUUGAGAUGAAAGAUGUUGAUUCACGAGGAAACUUCUUUUUAUUUUGAACAUCGAGAUUCAUUGUAGUAGUCUAGUAGAACGUACCUUUUGUUUUGAGGGUUAUAAUCUUGUAAUAUUCUUCAAAUGUGUGGACGAAAAAUGUACUAGUAGUCAAAGAAGACAAAUUAGAGAAAGAAGAAUUGCCUUCAGAACAAUAUGAAGAAUUUUACCUACGAACGAUGUUCUGUAUGUUUUAGUAAGAUGGACAAAUUGAUAUA